rnacentral:lncRNA from 1 species
CGCUCUGUCAAGAAGCCUUGCAAGAUCCGCUUUCGUUGGAGCACGAAGGUACUCAUUUUCGUACUAUUGCAAAAUUCGCGAAUGGUCUCAGUCACUGUGGUCUCUCCCAUUGCAAAAAUUUCGUCAAUCGCAUAGCCGAGUACGCAUAAGCCAACAUGCGCAUAACAAUUGUAACCUUUUGGAUGGGUGAAAAUCCAAGUUGACCCUUUCUAUCAAGUUUUUGUUGAAAGAAUGUAUUUGAGCGCUCGCAUGCCUCAACCAAACUUAAGAGUAGUGGUCAAUUCAUUCGAAAUCGAUGUCGAAAGUUACCUGCAUCGUAAAUAGGUUUUGGAACAAAUUAGUCAGCCAUAGUUGGUCGUGCUUACCUUUUCGUUUGCGACACUUAUAUUUGCGUGUUGAAACUGAACCACCUCGUACAAUCUCAGCAGGAUCGCGAGCAAAGUAUUGAUGAGAAAUUGCGUUAUGCAUGUUAAAUUCUUCUUCUAAUUCAUUUUGUUCUUCAUCCUCUCACCCAAAUUCAAAAG